UGUGUGCGUAUAUAUGUGUGUAUAUAUGUGGAUGUAUGUAUAUAUAUUUAUGUGUGUAUAUGCAUGUGUGUGUGUGUGUGCACACUCAGAGACCCAUAGGAAACAAAAGCACAGGACACCUGCUGCUGUUCCAUCAGAGACAAGCUGGCAUGUAAACAGAAGUCUACAUACACAUUUAGGAGCUAUGGCUGCAUUCUCUCUUCUUGCCCAAUAACAGUUAGACCCUCACUGCAUUCCAUUCGGUUCCAUGUCCCCUGAAGAGUAUUAAACACACAUUACUGUGUGCCUUUAAGUACAUCACAACCCCUCUGAGCUUCAAUUUUCUUACCUGCCAAAGAAAAAAACAAAGCCUAGCCUACCACCUCAUUUCAUUGCUAUAGGAUAAUAACAGCUGACAUUGUACAUUUAAACACUGUACAUAUAUUAAUUAUUUUAAUCUUUGAAACAACCCUAUCAGAUUGGUACGAUUAUUAGCCUCCAUUUGACAGAAAAGGAAACUGAGGCCACAGAACUGUUCCAUAACUUGCCCAAUGUCACCCAGCAAAGGAGGGAUUUGAGCUGCGACGAUCUGGUUCCAGCAACUAUGCUCUUAACCCCUUUGUUCAAUAGCACGAUGUCUGAAAGCACUGAACGUGUUUGGAAAUGUUCUGUAAAUGAAUGGCGCCAUUCUUAUUCUUGCUAGGACUGUUCCCACUGGGAAUGAUGCAACGCAGGGUCAGGAUUCCCUGGGUGAGGAUAAAUCCUGCAGCCUCAGAUCUGCAGCCCCGCUAGCCAGGGUACCAGGUGAAGCCAGAGGAUGAGGACCAAGAAGACCAAGAGGCAGGGUGAACUACUUUCUCAAGUUCAGAGCAAAGGGACGUGAAAAACAUGACCAUCUCCAACCGCACAGAGACCUCGAGCCCAGCACAGAAGUGGUUCAUCAGGAGACCGGGCAAGAUGAGAGGCUAACAGCCCAUCUGUCUUCCUUCCCCACGGCCUCCGUCUGGGAAGAUCCCUCUCCCUGCCAACUGCCAAGCUCCAGACCUUAUUCUGCCAUGAGCUCUCUGUGCAACCCGAGGCAAAAUACGAAGUGAGAUGGAGAGAGGAACUCCUACCACCUAGUAAACGGAUUUCUUUUCCUCCCCUAAGUGACCGUGACAAGGUAGGAUUGGAGUACACUUUCCUUCCCACUUCCUUCCCACGGCAAUAACACACAGUCAAACCCAUGUGAGCUAGGAUGGCAGCUCCAGCUAGAUUGUCCCGGAAGGACCACACUCUCUGGGAAUCUAUCUUGGAAUGGAUGUCGAGUUGCAGGCAGAUAGAAAUUCUGCCGCAAGCAAGGGCUCAGCCAGUGGAGAGGAGAAACGACAAGCCGCAGGACUGGCUGGUGCAUCUGAGGAAAGCACCACGGGAAGGGAAGGGAGGGUCCGGUGCGCAUAAGGUGAAGAAGGCCAAGAGGAGAUCAGAGUCUGGGAGAGAAUCACUGAAAGGUUCAGUAAGACAAAUGAAGGCCGUUACCGCCCACUUCUUUUGUUUACCCAAAGCACCAAAGACUGCUGGGACCUCAUCAUAGGGCUGUUAAGCAUCAAUAACAACUGUAGGGGGAGCGUGAGGAGGGGGUUAGGAAAAAUGAAACCUUUAUGUACCCACAAAAAAAAAUUUCAAAAAAUUCAAAAAUAAAAUAAUAACCAUAGUAGAUACAUCAAUAAAACCUUGGGCCCUAUGCAAUCUCUUAAGGAAUUCUGAGUUUACAGCUGUAGGGAUUUGGUGGGGUUUUUGGUUUGUAGGAACUUUUCUUGGAGUUUUUUUCUUUUUGCCAGCAAACUGUAAGUUCCUUGGGCAAGCUCAAGGCCAUAGUCCUAUAUAAUGAAUAAUGUUCAACAUAUAUAUCAUAGCUCAAUGCAUGCUAAUUAUGCCCUGCACUUACCCAAAAAACUGGCAUGACACAUCUUUAGAGGAAAAAAGAAAAAAGCAUGUAACUCUCGUAACAAUUUGAUGUCAAAACAAAGCGCGCGCGCGCGCGCGCACACGCACACACACACACACACACACACACACACACACACACCAGUUCGUGAUAUUGUGCAUGAAUAGCAAGGAUAAACUGCGUGUAAGCUCUGAAGUGUCCCCAUGUGGCAGAA